GCCUUCGUGGUGUAAUGGUCAGCACACUGAGCCCGUAUUUCAGAGGUCCGUGGUUCGAUCCCCGGCGAAGGCA
rnacentral:tRNA from 1 species